rnacentral:rRNA from 1 species
CUACCCGGGUAUCUAAUCCUGUUUGCUACCCACGCUUUCGAGCCUCAGCGUCAGUUACAGACCAGAGAGUCGCCUUCGCCACUGGUGUUCCUCCAUAUAUCUACGCAUUUCACCGCUACACAUGGAAUUCCACUCUCCUCUUCUGCACUCAAGUUCCCCAGUUUCCAAUGACCCUCCCCGGUUGAGCCGGGGGCUUUCACAUCAGACUUAAGGAACCGCCUGCGCUCGCUUUACGCCCAAUAAAUCCGGACAACGCUUGCCACCUACGUAUUACCGCGGCUGCUGGCAC